rnacentral:rRNA from 1 species
AACGAACGCUGGCGGCAUGCCUAACACAUGCAAGUCGAACGAGACCUUCGGGUCUAGUGGCGCACGGGUGCGUAACGCGUGGGAACCUGCCCUUAGGUUCGGAAUAACUCCCCGAAAGGGGUGCUAAUACCGGAUAAUGUCUUCGGACCAAAGAUUUAUCGCCUUUGGAUGGGCCCGCGUUGGAUUAGCUAGUUGGUAGGGUAAAAGCCUACCAAGGCGACGAUCCAUAGCUGGUCUGAGAGGAUGAUCCGCCACACUGGGACUGAGACACGGCCCAGACUCCUACGGGAAGCAGCAGUGGGGAAUAUUGGACAAUGGGCGAAAGCCUGAUCCAGCAAUGCCGCGUGAGUGAUGAAGGCCUUAGGGUUGUAAAGCUCUUUUACCCGGGAUGAUAAUGACAGUACCGGGAGAAUAAGCUCCGGCUAACUCCGUG